rnacentral:tRNA from 1 species
GCCGUCAUCGUCUAGUCUGGUUAGGACACGGGGCCUUCAAUCCCGUAACAUGGGUUCAAAUCCCAUUGACGGCGC